rnacentral:misc_RNA from 1 species
UCCGGUUUGGCACCGGCAGUCUUCCUAGAGUCCCCGCCAUUACGCGCUGGCAACUAAGAACAGGGGUUGCGCUCGUUAAGGGACUUAACCCGACACUUCACAGCACGAGCUGACGACAGCCAUGCAGCACCUGUGCUAGUUCCACGGCAAGCCGUGUCAUUCUGCUUUCACAGAACUAAUCCUAGCAUGUCAAACCCGGGUAAGGUUCUUCGCGUUGCUUCGAAUUGAGCCACAUCAUCCACCGCUUGUGUGAGCCCCCGUCAAUUCCUUUGAGUUUUAGCCUUGCGGCCGUACUCCCCAGGCGGCGCACUUAACGCUUUUGUUUCGGCACGCUGGACGUCAGAGUCAAGCAUACCUAGUGCGCAUCGUUUACGGCGUAGACUA